rnacentral:misc_RNA from 1 species
UCCGGUUUGUCACCGGCAGUCCCAUUAGAGUGCUCAACUGAAUGUAGCAACUAAUGGCAAGGGUUGCGCUCGUUGCGGGACUUAACCCAACAUCUCACGACACGAGCUGACGACGGCCAUGCAGCACCUGUGUUCCCGUUCCCUUUCGGGCACAGCCCCGUUUCCGGGACCUCCAGGACAUGUCAAGGGUAGGUAAGGUUUUUCGCGUUGCAUCGAAUUAAUCCACAUGCUCCACCGCUUGUGCGGGCCCCCGUCAAUUUCUUUGAGUUUUAAUCUUGCGACCGUACUCCCCAGGCGGGAUGCUUAAUGCGUUAGCUGCGCCACCAACGAGCAAGCUCGCUGACGGCUAGCAUCCAUAGUUUACGGCGUGGACUAC